AAAGUGUUUUAAGUGCAGAUCAAGAAGGGCAUCUGUUCUUAUCAGUUUAAUAUAAUGAUACGUCAGAAAUAGGGGGACCGUCUAUAUUAAAUGGAUUUGUGGAAGCGGGAGAUGGAAGCGGGGCUUGCUCCGUCCACUCCACGCAUCGACCCGGUAUUGCAGUACCUCCGGGAACGGUGUAUGGGUG